rnacentral:hammerhead_ribozyme from 1 species
AUCCAGCUGACGAGUCCCAAAUAGGACACAACGCGCGUUAAAGUGGAU